ACUCGAUGAAGAAGACGCGGCCGUCCCUGCAGACGCCGUAGGACCAGUGCUCAGGACUAAAACCAUCACACUUCAGUAGUGUCAUUACAUGUUAAAUCUGCCCAGAAGAACCUCCUGCUUUGAAAGAUGAAUUUACCGUGGUGCUGUGGAGGAGUCUCUCACACAUAACAUUAAACUUAGCUGGUAAUUCCAUCGUGCUUUGGCUACUAGACCACCAAACAGUGUGUGGCAAAGCAUUCCUAAUGCUCACGUGUAUGGAGAAUCACCUUUUGUUUGCUUUGAACUUGGUCCCUACGUCACUGAUUUUCCUCAGUUCUCACAAUGGAAGAGCUGGACUUUCUUCAGGGUCAACACAGGUUAUAGACCAAGUUUCUCAGGCCUUUGGGUAGGACCCGAAAACCUCAAAAGGCUGAAAUUCCACAGCCUGUCUUGGAAACUCGUUCCCAUGUUGCUGUGGUGAAAAUGCUUCCCUUGUAUCAAACAAGAAGCUACCCUUGUUUUGAUUUAUGAUCCUUGCCAUAUAACCAAAUCUUGAGUUGAUGCAUCACUGUAGGUGUAUGUUGCAGGUACUUGUAUGUCUUAAUUUCAGAUGUAGUAUUUAAAAGCCAUGUUCUGUUAAAAGAAACUUGCAAAGCUCUAAUCUAAAUUUAAGAUCAAGAUGAAAAGGUAAUCUAAAUUCAGACAUUUACAACCUAACUUGUGCUGGCCUCAUCAUCAGGAGGCAGGUUUGUGAUUUAGAGCAGUGGAGCAAGAAUACCUCCAGGCAUCAUUCAGUAAGAAGAUUACCAAACUCUUUUGAUAUAUAUACAUAUAGCUAAUGCUCAAGCUCUGGUUCCAGUCCUCCCUGGCUGAUCUCAGCCACAUUUAUUUUCUGUUGCAUCUCAUUCAUUCCUCUCGUGGGGCACUACCUGGAAUAAGCUAUGUGGGGUUAAAUUGGGAGUUUCAGGCCAUAAUUGCAGGAACUUGGCUAAAAGAAAUGAAAUGUGCUAUUCAACAAAUGAAGGGUCUAAUAAAAGCUAAGAGUUUCCAGGCUUCCUUUGCUGAUAAUGGGGUAACUGAAAGAGAUUUGCUUAGGUCCCUGAAUAUUAGUGCAUGUUUGAGCCCACAUUUGGCAGCUUCAUUUAUUUAUAUGCAUUCCUAGAGUUACUUGCUCUGUCUGCAUCCCCAGGAAGCACUUCUUUGUAUAUAUAACUUUCAUUAAGUUUUUUUUCUGCCUUGAGAGUGACGUAUUUCAAAACAUACACUAAAAUCUGUACCUAGACUUUGCUAUUUCCAGAAUAAAAUUGAACAACA
rnacentral:lncRNA from 7 species